CGUUCAUCAAGGGUCAAGUGUUUUCCCCUACAAAAAACUACUGAAACAAAGAGUCAGAGAGGGCUGUGUUGAGGUGUUGGUGCAGUGGCAACCUUGCUCUGGAUGUGGAGCAAAUGGAAAAACUCCUGGGAGGCCAAAGACAACCUUCAAACUUGACCAGUUUGUUUAGCUACUUUGUUUCCAGUCUUGGGAAGGUGUAAAAAUUGUAUUAAGUAAUGCCAAAUAUAUUGUUUUACUCUCCAA